UACGUAGGGCGCAAGCGUUGUCCGGAAUUAUUGGGCGUAAAGAGCUCGUAGGCGGUUUGUCGCGUCUGUCGUGAAAGCCCACGGCUUAACCGUGGGUCUGCGGUGGAUACGGGCAGACUAGAGGCAGGUAGGGGAGAAUGGAAUUCCCGGUGUAGCGGUGAAAUGCGCAGAUAUCGGGAGGAACACCGAUGGCGAAGGCAGGUCUCUGGGCAUUAACUGACGCUGAGGAGCGAAAGCAUGGGGAGCGAACAGG
rnacentral:rRNA from 1 species